UACGUACGGAUGUCGUUUUGGCAGAUACUUUCUCCGAGAGAGUCAAAGAUAGAUAAGAAAAUAAAAAAAGAAAAAAAAGAAAGAAACGACGCUGUAAAAGCUGAUGAAGACUCGUUCAGAAACGUGCAGCCUCGCGUAAAGUGCAAAUUGGAAGCGUUAUUACUCUGAAGAAGAAAACGGAAAUUUUCCUACCGCGUGCGUCGUUACCUACCUCGUCGAUGCGGUAUGGCGGAGGUCGAUUGGCAAGCCUCGUUGGCGCUCUGGUGCAGAGCCGAGUCCGAGUUCGUUCUGCGCCAGGUGUCCGGUGGCGGCGGCGACAGGUAAGGAACGCCGCUGUACGGCGACGUGUCGUGUCUCUUCUCCAUCGGCCGGGACCGCAUCGGUCCCACCCCCAUGCUCCGGCUCCUGUUGUCGCUACGGUACACCAUGGAGUUGUGCUGCAUCUCCUCCAGGUUGCUGAGCGCCGUCUGCAAACAUGAGGAGGAUGUGGGAUCUCCUUAGAGAAUCUCUCGAUCGACAUUACGGCGGCGCGAAAGCGUGCAAAAAAUUGAUAUAUAUAUAUACGUAUUUAAUGUCUAUAAUAGCGACAAAACAUUUAUAAAUCGUGCGGUAGCAGAAAGUACAAUAUAUGCAUGCGUUUUUU